UUUUUGGGAAGUAAAAAAUGUAACAAGGUUUCCGUAGGUGAACCUGCGGAAGGAUCAUUA
rnacentral:rRNA from 1 species